UUGACUCAAAUUGGUAUGGAGCUGGAACGUUUGCCUACGUUGCCGUUGUUCUAACUGCAUACAAAUUUGAGUUA
rnacentral:pre_miRNA from 1 species